rnacentral:miRNA from 1 species
GACGUCGAUAUUCGACGUCAUAAACGCGAUCAACUUUGGUGUUUAUGACGUCGAUAUUCGACGUCAUAAACACGGUCACCUUUGGUGUUUAUGGCGUCGAUAUUCGACGUCAUAAACACGAUAAACUUAGAUGUUUAUGACGUCGAUAUUCGACGUCAUAAACACGAUCAACUUUGGUGUUUAUGACGUCGAUAUUCGACGUC